GUCUUUCCUCGUUCUCCUGACGCUGACUUCGUCAUAACGGAAGCCGACGCCAGGUUCUCUUGGCUGCGAUUGGAAAAAUUUGGGUUGGCUAGAAGUCCUGCAGCAUCAUGGCGAGGCAUGCAAGUCGACGAAUGGUGAGGCCGGGAUUUGCGCUUUAUUGAAGAACUGCCAGGUCGUGUUCCAGGAAUUGGAGAACGGCAACGAGCCCGAUUCGCUCUGCGGAUAUGCCGGUUAUGAGCUAAUCGUUUGCUGUCCAACUUCGGGUCCACGAGUAACCCGAAACCCGAUCGACGAUGAACCAGGUGCAAUAGCAAGACAGAAAUGCGCUGAAUAGGCUGGGUACGUUUACGUCUAGAGGUUGCCAGUGAUUACCUCAGGCACAGAACAGAAAGUUAACGUUUCCCAGUACGCGUUCAGGUCCCAGAAGUUCGUUCUGGGAGGAACAAGGGCCGAGCAUAUGGAGUUUCCCCACAUGGUAGCGGUUGGCUACGAUUUGCCAAACGGUGAAGUCGGCUGGUACCACAGCGGCGCUCUGAUAUCCGAGAACUUCGUCCUGACGGCAGCCCACUGCAUCGUUUCAUUGUAUUGGCAAGCCUUGCCACCGCAUCGUUGUUCUGGGAUUUCACUGCAGGACUGCGAGUAAAACCAUGCAAGAAAAGUUGCUGGUCAAUCAAACUGCAAACGUGGUCGACGCGGUGUAACAAGGUUAUCGCGAAUCGCUGUUGAAUCACUUGGAAUUCCAUCAUCGACACUGGGGCCCUGCGAAAUGGGUCCGCGUUGGCGAUUUGAACCUCCAGCGUUCCGACGACGGGGCGAAACCGGAGGAUCGUCGCAUCGCCGAGCGGAUCAGAUACUCUCGAUACAAGCCUUCUUCUUCG
rnacentral:lncRNA from 1 species